AUUCCAGCUCCAGUAGCGUAUAUUAAAGUUGUUGCAGUUAAAAAGCUCGUAGUUGGAUUUCUGGUUUCACAGAACUGGCCUACUUCCUCAAGGUCGUGUGCGCCGUGUUUUGUGUACCAUCCUUCUAGAAAUUGUGUUCCAUCCCUUCACUGGGAUAGAUCCGAGAUCUAGAUCUUUUACUUUGAAGAAAUUAGAGUGUUCAAAGCAGGCUCGCGCUGUGAAUACAUUAGCAUGGAAUAAUAAUUUAGGACUUGGUAUCCUAUUUUGUUGGUUUUCAGGAUCUAAGUAAUGAUUUAUAGGGAUAGUUGGGGGUGCUAGUAUUCAGCGGCCAGAGGUGAAAUUCUUGGAUUCGCUGAAGACUAACUUAUGCGAAAGCAUUCACCAAGGAUGUCUUCAUCA
rnacentral:rRNA from 1 species